rnacentral:lncRNA from 1 species
CCCUAUUCCCUUAUUUUUUUUGUACUUUUUCCUCUAUUUUCUCGGCAUUUUUCCUUUAUUUUCUCACUAGUUGGUCACCACCGCCGGCUGUUCACAACCUUCGAUCCUCGACCAUGCCCCCCAGCAUAGUUUCCAGCAACCCUGGCGUCCCCUUCCUCUUCUAAGAGAGGGAAAGCAUUCCUCUUUCUGUCUCUUCUUUCUCUCUCUUCUCCCUCUUUUUCUCUCUAAGCAAACCCAUGGAGUUGCGUACAAAGUCCUGUCCCUCUUUCCUGCGAAC